UACGUAGGGGGCAAGCGUUGUCCGGAUUUAUUGGGCGUAAAGAGCGUGUAGGCGGCCAGACAGGUCAGCUGUGAAAACUCGAGGCUCAACCUCGAGACGUCGGUUGAAACCGUCUGGCUAGAGUCCGGAAGAGGAGAGUGGAAUUCCUGGUGUAGCGGUGAAAUGCGUAGAUAUCUGGAGGAACACCGGUGGCGAAGGCGGCAUCCUGGACCGGUAUUGACGCUGAGGCGCGAAAGCUAGGGGAGCAAACGGG
rnacentral:rRNA from 1 species